UUUUGAAUAGUGGGAAAUGUUUGGGUCAUUAAGGCGCAACUUCGUUACAUUUUGACCGAAAAGAUUUGACCUUUCUAUAAGGGGCAUAACCCCUAAUUUAUGAUUCUAAAAAGACAAAAUCAGCUUUUACUGUUAAACCAAAGGUCCUAGACCCAUGGGGUCUUCAACAAUGACAUUUGGGACCAAUGACCUUGACAAAGGUCACAAGGUCAAAGGUCAAGGUCAUG